GUAAGUCCAUUUCCUUCAUAGUAAAUAUGGGGGCUACCUACUCUGUAUUGCCUUCCUACUCAGGACCUAGCAUACCUUCCCAGAUUUCAGCAUCAAAUGUAAGG